rnacentral:rRNA from 1 species
AGGAUAAACGCUGGCGGCGUGCAUGAGACAUGCAAGUCGAACGGACGAUCAGGGCUUGCUCUGAUCGUUAGUGGCGGACGGCUGAGUAACGCGUAGGUGACCUGCCCCGAAGUGGGAAUAACUGCCCGAAAGGGUGGCUAAUACCGCAUGUGGUGGUGUGUUCAUUCACACCAGUAAAGCCGCAAGGCGCUUCGGGAGGGGCCUGCGUCCGAUUAGCUCGUUGGUGGGGUAACGGCUCACCAAGGCGACGAUCGGUAGGUGGUCUGAGAGGACGAUCACCCCAGACUGGGACUGAGACACGGCCCAGACUCCUACGGGAGGCAGCAGUCGGGAAUUUUGCGCAAUGGACGAAAGUCUGACGCAGCAACGCCGCGUGAGGGAUGAAGGCCUUCGGGUUGUAAACCUCUUUAUUCAGGGAAGAUAAUGACGGUACCUGAUGAAUAAGUCACGGCUAACUACGUGCCAGCAGCCGC